UACAAUUCAAUUCCUGGUCAGUUUCUUUCCUUAUUUGCCUAAUCAUAUUUUCUAGGUCAGACAGAUUACCUUGAUAGCUAACGCUGAAUCUAGCCUUUCUGCCUUUUCGCCUUGUAAGACGUAUUGGUUUUGUGCUACCGCUCUGUGGUCCAUAUGGAUGGUGUUCAGGCAACACGUCAAUUGCAAUAGCCUAAUAUU